rnacentral:rRNA from 1 species
CGGGUGAGUAACACGUGGAUAACCUGCCCAGAGGUGGGGGAUAACCCGGGGAAACUCGGGCUAAUACCGCAUGAUACCGAGAGGUCAAAGGGGGCUCGCAAGGGCUCUCGCCAUUGGAGGGGUCCGCGUCCGAUUAGCUAGUUGGUAGGGUAAUGGCCUACCAAGGCGACGAUCGGUAGCCGGCCUGAGAGGGUGAUCGGCCACACUGGAACUGAGACACGGUCCAGACUCCUACGGGAGGCAGCAGUGGGGAAUUUUGCGCAAUGGGCUAACGCCUGACGCAGCAACGCCGCGUGGAGGAUGAAGGUCUUUGGAUUGUAAACUCCUGUCAGCAGGGAAAAAGCGACUCGUGCUCAUACCACGGGGAGUUGAUUGUACCUGCAGAGGAAGCCCCGGCUAACUCUGUGCCAGCAGCCGCGGUAAUACAGAGGGGGCAAGCGUUAUUCGGAAUUAUUGGGCGUAAAGGGCGCGUAGGCGGCUUGGCAAGUGAAAGGUGAAAUCCCUCGGCUUAACCGAGGAACUGCCUUUCAGACUGCUUUGCUUGAGGCCGGGAGAGGUGAGUGGAAUUCCCAGUGUAGCGGUGAAAUGCGUAGAUAUUGGGAGGAAC